GCCUUGCCCUGAUGCUUGGGCCACACCCCAUGCUCUGGUGGUGCCCUUGUGUCAGUGACAUCCCUUUCCCUGAUGUCACUUCCUGUCCCUGCCCCUGUGUCCGCCCACCCUGCCCGUGACCCCGCCCCCUGACCACUGACCCCUCCAGACCCAGCAGGACAUGGUGAAUUCGCACCCGGGCCUGGACUUCCUGAGAGCAGCAAAGAAGUUACAUCACCACUUGAUUCCUGCCAUGGCUCCACCUCCAACCCUGUGACCCUGUGACACCGGCUCCUCCCCCAUGUGACUCAGAGGAUCUUCUACACAGUGAACUGGUCAUGGUCUGGGAUGAUCUUGCAAGAGGAGCUGAGGUGCAGCUGCUUCCUGCAGCCAUCUCUUCCUGGAUGAUCCACUGCAUCUUCUCUUUCGGGUGCUGUCAGCCUGUGAGCAGCCUGGGAGGGUGCAGCCUCUGUGUAGUGCCAGGAAGCUGACCUCGUGUGGUUCCUGCUCUCAGAGGACAAGAUCACGCCCAUCAGAUGAGCAGGGUGCCCCAGCCAGCCAUGCCCCCUGCUUGCUCCUUACCUUGCUUCUCUGUGGUCACGCCCACCAACUCUGGCUCCGCCCUGACAUGGCCACGCCUAUAGGAUGUUCUGUCUCCGCCCCCGCUCGAUCCUGGCUCUGCCCCUUGCUGACUGACCCCCCCCACCUCAUGAACUCUGACCCUGAUCUCAUGACCCCGCCACUGUGACCCUGCUGACUGCUGACCCUCUGACCCCUGAUCCUGCCCACAGACACCAUGAUCUCUGACCCUUACCUCUUGACUCCACCCCUUGAUUGUGACCCCACCCCCGUGACCUCUGACCCCCAACCCCACCUACCCCGCAGCACUGACUGCUGGUUCUGCUGCAUGGUGUUCGAGCUCGAGUUCUUCUAUGAGGAGCAGGCCCAGCGUGGAGCCCCUCCUCUUCCGCGACCUGCGCGCGUGUGCCAGGUGCUGGACCUCUUUGCCCCAGCCCCAGUGGCAGCUAGGAUCCCGGCCACACCUCUGACCCUGCGGGGGACUCCUGACCCCUGGAUUUAGCCUGUGAACUCCAGGGUGACCUCUGACACUACCU